GAGAGGAGAGGUCUGUGCGUGCAGGAGAAAAAAUAGAUCUGAAAGGGUACAUCAUAACCAGUGGCAGGUGGGUAAUUUUUUACCCCAAAAGCACUUGAAAGCAGGGGGGAAGGUGCUUUUGAUUUUGUACUAGAGCAAAAGUAGCUUUUGGGCAAAAGCACGUAGAGCUUUUAGGCCCUUUGGUUGGCUUUUGGCUUUUGCAAAAGCAAAAGCAGGUUGGAAAGCCCAACCAAAGGGAGCC
rnacentral:lncRNA from 1 species